UACGGGGGGGGCAAGCGUUGUUCGGAAUUACUGGGCGUAAAGGGCUCGUAGGCGGCCAACUAAGUCGGAUGUGAAAUCCCCAGGCUCAACCUGGGAACUGCAUCCGAUACUGGAUGGCUUGAAUUCGGGAGAGGGAUGCAGAAUUCCUGGUGUAGCGGUGAAAUGCGCAGAUAUCAGGAAGAACACCCGUGGCGAAAGCGGCUCUCUGGAACGGUACCGACGCUGAGACGCGAAAGCGUGGGGAGCGAACAGG
rnacentral:rRNA from 1 species